CGCAGAGACAUCCAGACGGGGUCGCUUCCGUCAAAUUCAAAGACGUGGAAUGCGCCGAUAAAUGUGUGGAAUCUCUCAACGGCAGGUGGUUUGCAAAGAGGCAGCUCCUUUGCGAGCUGUGGGACGGUGUGACCGACUACAAGAUUGAGGAGACGGACAAAGAGAGAGAAGAACGCCUCAAAAAGUGGGAGAACUUCCUCCACGACGACGACAAGACGACGGAAUCAGGGAGCAGCGAGAAGCAAGAUGCAGGGAAGGAGGGAACAGAAACGCAGGGGAGCAAUGUCACCCAGCACACCGAUGAGGACAAAAGUGCGGUUACAGAGGCAGGGAGCGACACAGCACAGAACACCGAAGCCGUAGAUGCGACGUGAUGCUCUGGGAAGUGGUGACAAGUUUCGUUGCAAGUGCAUGAUUAGAUGGUACAUCCUGGCUGCCUAUAAUGCCUAAGAUGCCAAACUUGAUGUGACAUCUCCAGUGCACUUGCAGGGGACCAGUGAUAAUCUUCACUUGCUGCUUAUGUGGAUGGCACUAAUAACAUUUGCUCACUGGUAGCCAGAGAUCUCUUAAUGCCAUCCUAUGGUUGCAGACUAGUAAAUAAACUGCCAUAGACCCCCAGUGAUAAAUGCGCCCACUUCUGAAAUUCAGGAAAAAAUACUCUCACAACUCUCCAAGGUGUUUGAGACACACAUCAAAUUAAAGCUUAUUUCAC